GCGUCGUAUAUGGGCGCAGCUGAUCAGCCAUGCCGCGUGAGUGAGAAGGCCUUCGGGUUGUAAAGCUCUUUUGUCCGGGACGAAACGGUCUGGGCUAAUACCCUGGGCUCAUGACGGUUCCGUGCCAAUAAGCACCGGCUAACUACGUGCCAGCAGCCGCGGUAAU
rnacentral:rRNA from 1 species